rnacentral:rRNA from 1 species
GACGAACGCUGGCGGCGUGCCUAAUACAUGCAAGUUGAGCGCUGAAGGUUGGUACUUGUACCAACUGGAUGAGCAGCGAACGGGUGAGUAACGCGUGGGGAAUCUGCCUUUGAGCGGGGGACAACAUUUGGAAACGAAUGCUAAUACCGCAUAAAAACUUUAAACACAAGUUUUAAGUUUGAAAGAUGCAAUUGCAUCACUCAAAGAUGAUCCCGCGUUGUAUUAGCUAGUUGGUGAGGUAAAGGCUCACCAAGGCGAUGAUACAUAGCCGACCUGAGAGGGUGAUCGGCCACAUUGGGACUGAGACACGGCCCAAACUCCUGCGGGAGGCAGCAGUAGGGAAUCUUCGGCAAUGGACGAAAGUCUGACCGAGCAACGCCGCGUGAGUGAAGAAGGUUUUCGGAUCGUAAAACUCUGUUGGUAGAGAAGAACGUUGGUGAGAGUGGAAAGCUCAUCAAGUGACGGUAACUACCCAGAAAGGGACGGCUAACUACGUG